rfam:Pan troglodytes isolate Yerkes chimp pedigree #C0471 (Clint) chromosome 16, whole genome shotgun sequence.
GCUGGGCGUGGUGGCGCAUGCCUGUAAUUCCAGCCACUUGGGAGGCUGAGGCAGGAGAAUCGCUUGAACCCAGGAGGCAGAGAUUUCAGUGAGCCGAGAUUGCGCCACUGCACUCCAGCCUGGGCAACAGAGUGAGACUCUGUCUCAA